GCUGGAACGGUCGAACGUCUUGUGCAGGAAAUCCAUCAGGAUCUCCGUCAUCCGGUUGAGGAAUUCCCUCGUCUCCGGCUCGCUAUCACCGACAUGUGGCAGCAAAUCUACAACCACCAGAAAAAGAAAAAAUAACUUGGUCCAUCCUCCUCCUCCUCCGUGCUAGAUGCUGACAGAUGCUGCUGGAUGCCGUCGGCUGCCUCUGCGCUUGUGCCGCAAAAUCCUUCCCUCAAGAUGUUUGAAAUGGGAGGAGUUUGUGAGUGGAUUCCAACCAGUCACGCCAUCGAGAUCCUCCUCUACCCCCACCCAAGAAAGGCCGUGAGAUGAUGACGACGUCUGCAAUCGACCAAUCCUCUUUUCCAACCUCGUAACAAACAAACAAGAAACUGAGUCGAAAAUGAAUCCUGGAUCGAAGAAAUUUAUUGGCAACCCCAAUAAACCCAAUUUUGUAUUUCAGACAACUUUGAUUCAUCACCGACGGUCGUUUCAUUCCUCCCACGUGGGAUCCAAUAAUAACAGACGGGUUAGUAUAGUUUAGAUUUCUCCGUGAUUAAAUGUCGAUCGAUUGAAUAUUGAUAAAUCUCGGGCAUAGAUUUUUAUUCCGGCAUGUUGGAAACGUCGCACAUGUGCGGGGGUGUUGUAUUGUGGAUGCUGUACAAUUUUUAUGACUGGGCCGAUGGGAGGGAGGGUCUAUCUAUACCCGUGAGAGAGAAGGAGCUAACAUGCGUGAAACAGCUGGGCGUCAUCGCUCAGGAACAGCAGCAACUCAACCGUUUACAAUAUCACGAUAUCGUAUCUAAAACCUUCGCUACUUGCAUUUAAGACUUAUGGAAUUGCGCAGCAGAGAUCACCAGCGUCACCCCUCCCGCGUUACAUAUGGCGAGAGAUUUCAGGGUCCAAAUUCCAGGCACUAAACUAAUUAAUAUUCACGUUAUGGUACAUGGGUCCCUGCUUGUUCAAAUUGUUGAUGAUAUUUCUCUUCCAUUUGGAACCUGUCGUUCAAAUUCUUUUGUUAUUUUCCCCCUUCGUUCAGUUGUUGUUUCGUAGAAUAUUCUCGACUGUUUAAUUCGAAUAAUUUUUCUUCAUCUUUCUCGAGACGACUACGAACGUCAAGAUGUUAUUGCUGUUGCUGUAAUUGAUGUAUUGCGUCUGUUAAUAAUUUCUCCACGUAUAAGAGGAGGGCGGGAAGGAUACUGCGAGAUAUUUAAUCGAUCGGGAAAGAUCAAUUCAAACUAAAACCAAGCAAUAGAUGUUUUAUAAACAAGGGAGUUUAUUGGCUGGAUACAAAAUUUGGUGUAAUUCGUUUCAAGAUAACAUGUGAUUUUUCUCUUUGAUUCAGCGACGUCGGACCGGAACUAAUUCGCAAUUACACAAUACUCCUCCGUCGCCCGUCUUGCACAAAUCAGCGCAGACUUGGCCCCAGUCACGAGUUGUCGUUGUCGUCGCCACCGUAACCACUUCCGCACGGCCCUCUAAGAAUAAAAAAAAAUUUCAUUUUAAGCGAUGGAAAUUUGAAUCGUUUAAUGAAAUUUACCGAUGCUUCGGACUGCGAUGGAAUUGGCUUGCACCGAGACCAACAUGACCGACAUGAAAGCGACGAGGACGCAACAAACGGUCAGUUUCAUUUUUCAAUUUUCUCUUUUAGUUCUAAAAUUAGAUUAAGAAAUUUGAAAUUUUCGAUUGAAAUAUUUUUCAAUGGAAAUUAAAUUCGUACCUGAACGUUUUUUAAGCGAAAAUGUUGAGCGCGUACAGUCUGGAAUGAGUCAACAAUUGUAUUAAGAAUUGAUUCAGAAACUUGUGGACCUUUAUGACUUGACGUGUAAGAAUAGCGGGUACAACGUGAACUUUCAUAUCAGAACGAAAUCGAACGUCAUCGUUACCAAAUCUCCCGGCCGCAAAGAUUAGAAACGAGACGAUUUUAUAGCUACACUAAUAAUCUCUUCCAGCAGCUGAUAUCUUGUGUUCUAACCUUGAUAAUGAAUUAGGGGGGGUCUCUCCUUUUUGUUUGUCCGUUCCCGAUACACACAAACAAAAGUCAUUCAACAACAGUUGAAACGGAUUGCAAUCUACUGCGCAUUUGAACAUGUGUUACGUCGUGCACAUCGACGAGUAAUCCCGUCGCUAAGUAGCUAGGCCCCUACUUAAUUGUGUCGGUGAUAAAAAAAAGACUCUCGGCUCCUUUCCAAUUCUAAUCCGAAAUGGCGCCGUCGGGAUCAUCUGGAACGAAAUAAUAAAAAUAAAAUGAAAACUUGUAGAUGUCGAUCGAUUGUAAGAAAUCGAUUCUCAAAACAUUUCGCGGCUCUGCUGUUGAAAAGUUGAUUUUUAAGUCAAACGAAAAGUCGAUUUGCGAAUAUUUGAUUGAUUGCCGAGCGCAAGUGAACUAAUUCAACAGCUAAUUGGAUACUCGAGUUGGCAGCUGUUACGACGUCCAAGGAAUGAAUGCGCGUGGCAUGUCGAUUAUUAGUGGCGACCUCGAAACGCCAACGUGGGGAAUGCGCACCGAUCCGGGCACCACCCAAAAACACGUGCGGAAGCGAAUGCCGAAUAGACUGGAUGGUUGUUUUUGUUUGCGCCUCGUGUUUAUAAUUUGUUGCGAGUCAUCGUCAAGCAUUGUUGAUCUGCCAUCAAUCCUCUCUAUCUCUUUUGUUUUGUUGUUGUUGCCAUAAGAGUGUCUUCUUUUUUUCGUUAUUAAAAGAACACACAAAGUCUAGAAGCCAAAAAAGUUUGUGCGCGCGGCUAUUUCUAUUUCGCCACUUGAGGUUGUUUUCUAUAUUUGACCCUCGAGUGUUUGAAAUGUCCCAUCAUUCUUUUUCCUUUCGCUGGCCUCUUGGAACUCUUCCACCCGUAGGAAACGUCUAAUUUCGACUUGGCACGUCCGACUGAAGUCGUACCCGCUACCGUUUCGCUUCCUUCCUUCCGCCCCGAGUUGCGUCAUCGCACUCAAUUGAUCGCAUGAUGAAAUGAAUAUUCCUAGACAUUAAUAAUACUACCAACAAUCGGCCGUUUUUCUUUUUUCACGAUUAAAUGACUGCCAUCUGGCGGCUGAUGUUACCAACUAAGAAAAUUCGUCAAGUGGGGCAGCGUCCCUUUUUGUUUUAUCUUUUAAAAAAGAAACGGCCAGUGAACUUUGCGAUGAAUAUCUCGUUACUAAUGAAUUGCGUGUACACAGGAUGUUUGCUCCACAUGAUGUUGCCAAAUGUAAUAGAUCCGAUAGGUAGUUGAGGAAGCGCCAAAGUGUAUUGUGGAAUGUGCGGUAAUAUUAUGAUGAAAAAGGCACUGCAAUACACACCAGAGAGAUAAGAAUAUAGAUGUGGGGGUAGGAAAGAUGUUUUAGGGCUUUGUUAUUGGAUCAGAACAUAAGUACUAAUUAGAGAUGUUUUUUUGUUUUUUUUUACGAGGAAUUUAAUGAAUUUAUUAAAUCGAGAACUGGGGUAAUAUGAAAGUAUAAAAUAAGUCGUAUAA